rnacentral:rRNA from 1 species
UACAGAGGUCUCAAGCGUUGUUCGGAUUCAUUGGGCGUAAAGGGUGCGUAGGCGGCGCGGUAAGUCGGGUGUGAAAUCUCGGGGCUUAACUCCGAAACUGCAUUCGAUACUGCCGUGCUUGAGGACUGGAGAGGCGAGUGGAAUUCCCGGUGUAGCGGUGAAAUGCGCAGAUAUCGGGAGGAACACCUAUGGCGAAGGCAGCUCGCUGGGACGUUACUGACGCUGAGACGCGAAAGCGUGGGGAGCAAACAGG